AAGGCUUACCCUUAGGUAAUUAGAAAACCUUAGAAAUGUUUCAAUACCAUAUACAUACAAAUAAAUUGAGGCUUAGAAAUAUUAAUUAAUCCAGUUAAGAUCAAAAUGGCAAGAACAUAGCAGAGCCAGAAGUAAAAAUUUGCUUCAUGGAUUUCCAGGGUAGCACCAGCAUCUGGAAGUGGGACCGGCAUUAUGGAUGCACUAUAAUAUUGAUAGAAUAAAUAAGUGAUUUUAAUAGAUUUUCAUCUAGACUUUGAGUAAACUACCCCAUGAGGCAUACUGGUAGUGUUCUGUGUCUUUACCUGGCUCUCAUUUUACAGGUGUGUUUAGUUUGUGAAAAUCACAUUUUUAGAUAUUUCUUAUGAGAGGGAAGGACCUGGAAGACCAGGAAGAAUCAGGACUUGGAAAUGGAGAUGGAGAAGAUAUUGAAUGGAUGACCCUUUAGGGAAUUCUAGGAUAAGGAUUACCCCGAGGUCGCCACACUUAGAGGAAGUCCAGGCAAGAAGGAGAGACCCGGUGAAAGUGUUCCAAUUGAUACCUCUGUUGACAUCACAACUGACAAAUAGCAUCAGCCACCAGACAAAUGAGAGAAGACAUCUCCAGAUGAUGCCAGCUCCCAGCCCUUGAGUCACCCCUAGCCAUUAUGUCUUCCCAACUGAGGCCCCAGACUAUGAGCACAAACAAGGUAUUUGAAUUAUGCCUUGUCCAAAUUCCUGAUCCACAGAAUCUGUGAGCAUAAUAAAAUGCUUCUUUAAGCUACUGAUUUGGAUGUAAUUUGUUACAAGACAAUAGUCAGUGCAACAAUAGCAUCCACAACUCUUUCAAAGGCAUUCUCUGUAGUCUUCUUGAACAAUGAAGAUUGAACAAUGUUGGCAGAAUCAAUUUCAUAGUCCUUAGGAUGUAUUGCUUAGUGGUCUAGCACCUCAAUCAGACAUUAUUCUUAGGCUUUGGGCCACUGGUGAAACUUAAAGACAAAAGAGCCCCAUUUUAAUAUCUGACUAUUUCACAGCCAGGAUGGAUCAAGCAGAAAUGCCACUUCUUCCAUACCGGGG
rnacentral:lncRNA from 1 species